rnacentral:rRNA from 1 species
GACGAACGCUGGCGGCGUGCUUAACACAUGCAAGUCGAACGGAAAGGCCCUGCUUUUGUGGGGUGCUCGAGUGGCGAACGGGUGAGUAACACGUGAGUAACCUGCCCUUGACUUUGGGAUAACUUCAGGAAACUGGGGCUAAUACCGGAUAGGAGCUCCUGCUGCAUGGUGGGGGUUGGAAAGUUUCGGCGGUUGGGGAUGGACUCGCGGCUUAUCAGCUUGUUGGUGGGGUAGUGGCUUACCAAGGCUUUGACGGGUAGCCGGCCUGAGAGGGUGACCGGCCACAUUGGGACUGAGAUACGGCCCAGACUCCUACGGGAGGCAGCAGUGGGGAAUAUUGCACAAUGGGCGGAAGCCUGAUGCAGCAACGCCGCGUGCGGGAUGACGGCCUUCGGGUUGUAAACCGCUUUCUCCUGUGACGAAGCGUGAUUGACGGUAAUGGGUAAAGAAGCAACGGCUAACUACGUG